rnacentral:lncRNA from 1 species
ACACACACACUCACUCAUACAUGCAUGCACACACAUACACGCAUGCACACACUGAUACAUGCAUGCACACACAUGCACACACAUGCAUGCACACACAUACAUGCACACACGCACACAUGCACUCAUACUCACAAGCAUGCGCACACAUGCAUGCAGACACACACUCAUUCCCAGCAGGUGAUGGCCCCUCUCCCAGAGCAGAGUGCACCCCUCCUGCAACCUGAGGUUUGUACUGAUUAAAACAGGUUCCUGGAGCCCAUCCAGAAGAUCUCCCUGUGUGGGCUCCACAAACUCCCUCCAAGGACUGGAGCCUG